CUAUCAACUAAGCAACGGGGUUUCCACACCGUUCUAGGAGAACGAAGUUUGAAAAAAAAGUAUUUAAUGAAGUGAGUAGUAGAUUGGAAAAGCAGUAUUUAAUGAAGUGAGUAGUAAGUUUGAUAAACGCAGUCUUUAAUGUUGUAGGAAGUUUGAAAAAAAGCAAUACUAAAUAGUCUGGAAAAGCAGAAUCUGAUAAUUUGGAAAAAAAAGUAAAGUGAGUAGUAAUUUUUUUUUGGGGGGGGGGUGGAACAGUACUUAAUGAAGUGAGUUUGGCACGUUGCAACGCAGCUGCUCGAUCUGUAACGGAGCAUAAACUAGUGUACAGAGGGGAAAGGCCACGCAACCCCACGGCUGCCAGCAGGGCAAUUCCCUGCAAAGACCUGUAACCUCCACCGAUUCCAGCGGGCCUGUUCUUGCCAGCCGACCCGUCCAAAAGCCUACGCUGCGAUCCGCUCCAGGAGAUUCCUCCGCUGAAGCGGAGGUAUCGGACGCUCGGCCGGAGAGAGAGGGAAAAGCCGGAGCCGUUGGUGAGCUUGUAAUAGGAGACAAGCGUCCGUCACUGUGGAGCUAGUAGCAGGGCGGGCACAGCCCAGGAGUAAUAGCAAAAGCGAAAGUAGCUGGGCGGCUUGGCGGCAACAGCAGCCGCUUCAACACCGACGGCAGCUGCUUAGCGAAAAAGCAGAAGUUAGUUUAGGCUUACGGGAAAAAAAAAAAAAAAACAAUAGCAGGGGGAUUCCGGCCUGCCCCAACAGCCCUGAUUGGUCGAGAUGGGCUUCCCAGGAGGAGAAGGCGGCGGCGGGGGGGGGGUCGUUGAUCCUCAGCAUAAAAUACCCGGGAAGGAGCGGAGCAGAACUGUCCGGAGCGCAGCUUGGUGCGCGCGGCGGGCCGGUUAGACGGCUGUUUCCCUGCAGGCCAGGCGUGGCCCGGCUCCUGCUGACUUUUGGGACGGUCCAGCAGGGCCAAGCAAGACCACCUGCCCGGCGAAGCCGCCUUCUGAAGUCGGCCAGGUGAAAGGAAGGGAGGGAGGGAAGGAAGGAAGGAGGGAGGGCUCUGCAAACGGGGCAGGGGCAGCGGGAGAGCCGCACGUGCUCCUGCAGGUGGGCGCCAGAAACGCGGGAGAAGCGAGACCCGCGAAAGCCCCCGAUUCCUCCUGCCGCGUUUCCACCCGUGACUUUUCUAUGGGAGUCAAAGCGUUUCCAGGGGUGGACCCUGCGAGGUGACGGCGGCGCGGCUGAACCGGGAGGCGGAAAGGACUUGCCCCCAGCCUUGGGGCCAGGGUGCGGCCGGGUUAAGGAAGCGGAGCGUGGCCUUGAAGCAGCCAGGAGCUGAGCGCCUUCCUGCCAAGAGGCCAACGACCUGCCUUACAGGCUCACAUGCAGGAGAUGGAGGCAUAGAUGUCUCCUGAUAUGGCUCUCCGCAACUGGAACUUGGAGGCAAGCUACCCCUCCCAACCGGAAAGUAACACGGAGUCUUCAAGAUUAACAGCCCUUAAGAAAUGUGUCUGUCAGGAAUUUGCCAUAUUUCUAUGUAGGCCAUCCAUGUUGCCGGUCAUCACAUCUUAUGGUAAUGAAUCCUGCCACUUCAUGAUGCACUGUGUGAAGAUAAAGAUCCGAACCUUGAAAAGCAAGAUCUGAGUCUUCAGACGGAUAUGUAUCCAGCUGCUGAGACUUUGAGAUGGGUUUAUUGACCUUCAUUGAGGUUUGUCUACUUGCAGGAUUUAAGCAUGCAGUGUUACUGUCACUGAAAUGAUCCUCACACUCUUGCACUGUGCCAUACGCGUCGCUGUCCUGUGAGAUUUGCAGUGUGCAGCCAUGUCUCUCCAGCCACAAAAUCCACCUCCUCCUAUUUUGCUUUCAAUCUGUUACCAGCUUCUGCAAAGGCUUAAGAAUGGGCAACGGAAUCCCAAAAGCAGCUGUUUUGUUCCAUUUUCCAGCUGCCCUUGGAUUCCGUUCCUUGCUCUUUUGCCCACUUCUCCAGGAUUUCAUUCAUUCUCUUCUGUAACUUAUGGUGUAGCGAACUGUUUGAGGAACCACUGGAAGAAACAAUAUUUUUUUUAAAAAAAUAAAGCACAAAGACCCCAUUCUGUUCAAUCAUGAGAACUAGAAACUUAUUUAUAAAAUGAUAGGCAAUAAAUUCAACAUACACCAAAAAAGUCUGAGCUGGCUACCCCCAAGAAUAAUGGAUGCUGCAGGACAAUCUGUUCAGUGGCAACAAAUUAGACUUUGAUUUAAACAGACUGGUAGUUCUUAAAUCAGCUAAAUAUCAAGGAUGAAGUAAAUGUUGGGUAGAAGCAUGAAACGUAGUAGUAGUAAAAAAAACCAUGUUUUCCUCCUGGCUGAUUCAAUCUCGGGAAUAAUCUUGAAAGGUGAAUUUUGCUGCUGUUCCUUCAUGAGCUGCACAGUCAACUUAAGGAACUAAUUUCAAAGUCAUUGCCAUUUGGGGGUGGCCUUCCCUACAUGUAUUAAGACUGUAACUCCUAGAAAUCUUAGCUUAUUUGGAGAGUGUCAAGUUGGGAGAAGAUGAUCUUUGCCAUAACACUAAUUCAUGGACAAUUGGUCUCUCAGUGGCAAUUCCUCACUUGUUCGGGAUAGCUGUCCUGGUGCAUAGGGUUUUGUGGACUUCCCGAGAGCACACAACAGCCUGUGGUUGCCAAGUGUUGUGGUCACAUGACAAUUUUUGUCUAAAGACUACUUUGCUCAGCAACAACAAUUCCAGUCCCAGUUAGGGUCAUUAAAUGACUACCUGUACUUCCAAUGGAAUAUUAGUGAGGGAGCCUCCUCUCUGUUGAAGGUGGGAGCUUUGGUAGGAGGUGAAAGGGAACAGACUGAGUGUGGGACUGUUGAUAGCUUGAGUUACAGCAUUGUGUGUGUUUGUGGAGGAGGAACUCCUUCAGGUUUCCUCAUACUUUUCUGUGCAGUGGUGAUAACAAGCUAUUUCCUGGGCAGAAGUCAGUAGAGCUGGGGCCUGCAGAUGUUGCAGUAGGCUAGAGUUCCCUUUAAGGCAAAGUGAGCAGGAUGUAAUGAAGCAGGCAUGAAUUUUCCCCAAGUUCAGAGGAAACGAAAUAAUGAGUUUGGAAAUGGCCUGGCUGAGUGGGCCUAGUGCCUGGGAGGAUAGUAUUUAUUAUUUGUCUUUUCUUGGGCUUGGAAACUGAGCCAGAUCAGAUCUGGUUACUCCAAAGACAAGGCUAAACUCUGAAGUGAGAAAAAAUUCUCCAAGUGAGGCAGUGGUAAACCACUUCCCCGUUGCUGCCAGGAAAACGAUGUGAAUUUGGUCAAGUAAUCAAGGGAUUGAUUAAUUUCUAAGUAACCUAACGAGUAAUCUGAAAAGUGAGUUUUGCUGCUUCAGAGGGGUCAAUCUGGAUUUAGAUACCUCAGAACAUGUCCUAUGCUCAUUGUGAGGCCAAAAGAGUUCUUUCAGCAUGACUUUAUUUCAUUCAUUCAUUCAUUCAAUUUCUAUAGCCUCCCCUUCACACCAAACAAGUGACUCUGGGUGGCAUACAAUAAACCUAAGCAGUCAAUAAAUACCUAAAACCAUUACAUUAUUAGAACACAUUAAAGCCAUAAAAAAACUAUAAAAAUAGAGCAUGAGGUUCUAACUAACAAAAUAAAACACACCAUCCUUGGAGGCAAAACUGAGGGAUGAGAAGGUGCUUUCAAUCAUGCCAAUUUGUGUACUCGUCAAGGAGUGCUUUCCAAAAAAAAAAAAAAAAUGUGUAGGGAUACAGUUAUUUUUCUUCCUGAUCAAAAAUGAAGGCAGAUGCCUCUACUCUGCCAAAAUAAGCUAACAUCCUGAGCCUCUUGUCCAAAUCUGAGCCUGACUGGGAUGCUUAUCAUUUUCCCAACAAAGGGGGCUGUAUCCUUAAAACUGCUACUGUUUCCCUCAUCCUUUAAAAGGUAGGAAAGCUCUUGCACCCAAUAUCACUGGGCUACAGAGACUUGAAGAGAGUUCUGUAACAAGGUAGUCUCUGACUUAAGAUUGAUCACCAUUUGAAGUUACAACUAGCCUCCCCAGGGUUAUUUAGUGCCCAGUUUCAAAAUUCCGACUCCCAGUCAUGGGAUCAUAUUUUGGAUGUUUGGUAACUGAGCGAAAUUUAGAGCUGUUUGCAGCGCUCUGUUAUGUGAUCAUGAUUUGCAAUGUUUAUUUCUGUUUCCAACAAAAAAAAUGCCCAUUGGGUGCAAUGGGUUUGCUUAAUGACUCUCAGGUUCACUUGCUACAAAAGAGGUUGUAAAAUCAGUUACGUGGUAACUCACUUAACUAUCAGCAUGAGUUACAACUGUAAGUCUGACUUCAAUUCUCUAGCUUGCAUCAUAAAUAAUUACUAUGGAUGCUUGUUCUGGGAUAAGAGAUCCCUGGUGCCUCAAGAUUUUGCUGAACGACAGUUCUCCAUAGGGUUGAAAGGGCAGGGUAAGGCUGUUGUGAGGACUGACAUCAUUCUACCCCUUUUACAGAGUCAGCAGGAAAACAGCUGAAACUUCUCAUCAAAAUGGGGAAAGCCCCCAAAUCCAGUGCUUGGUCCUCGCAUAUUAAUUGUGACGAGAAGGAAUCCUGAGGGUAAAAUUUUCUUCAGGGUUGUCCCACUUGAUAAUUUUUCCUCAUGGAUGGCAUUUGAACAUUUUUUUUUCUUCCCCAAACGAAUUGAGUUGAUCCUAAAAAAAACAGCCCAGUUGCCUCUUGAAAAAGCACCUUUGGGAUAACCAUGACGUGGAUGACUGAGAAUCUCCAUAGACAAAUUGAGGUGAUGCGAGAUAAAACUGUAAUUCCCCCAAAUGGAAGGCAUUUCUGCUCAUUGGGGGAGGGGAUCAGAAGGUAUAGACUGAAAGGCCCUUGGGCAAACUCUAGCCCAAUGGGAACUGGGAGGAGGGUUUUUUUUUCAAUCUUUGACUGUGUUGUCAUUAAAUUAGAUUUAAUGCCAAGGUAUGUGCUUCAGAUUAGCCUUGUUGAGUUUGGUGUUCUCCAAAUGGAUUGAAUGCAAUCUUCCUGGCUGUAAAAUGAGGCCUGAUACCUCUGGUAGACAUUAAGUUGGGGUAAGUAGCCUCAAAGUCUCAUGUGGGAAAAACAUGCCUUUUUUUUUUUUUUUGAAUGGAUGAUUUGUUGGGCUUGUCAAGUCAAAUUACUCAUUGCAACUGAUCCAGAAUGUUUUUUUCAGUGUCUGCCUUUUUAUUUGACAUAUUUCAUUAGUGUUGCUUCUUCUCUUAGGAAUAGGUAGACAAGGCAAAAAGCAGGAAGAGGGAUGCAUGCAUGUGGGAACACCACCACCAUGAAUCAGGUAUCUAGAUGCUCAGGUCUGGAGGAAGAUUCGGGAGGAGAAAUUGCCAAGGAAUGACACGAUCACUCCCGCUGAGCGAGUGGACACAGAGCCACGGGGCUGUCGUGUCUGUCCUCAGCUUUUUCCAAGAUCCCAGAUGAGCCCAUGAAAGGGACUGGAAGCAUCUGCUGUUGUGUGAUGCUAUUUGUGUCUGGUCUCUUAUUUACAAUAGUUUUAAUCCCAGUAGAAUAACUGGGAGCAAAGAGAUUGUGUUCAGACAACACUUAAGUCAGUUAAUCCAUUGCUUGUUUGUAUACUACCCUGAACCAUACACCAAUAAAUUGCAUUUUAGCCUAAUGUGUGAACAGAGUCGUCAUAGCCGCCAAGAAUAGAUACAAUUUUCCCUACAGUCAUUUCCAUAUCGAUGAUUUUUAGCAUACAGGUAGUCCUUGAUUUAAGUUAAAAUGGUGUUGAAAAAAGUAACUUAGAACCCAUCCUCAAAAGUUACAACCAUCACAUUACCCCUGUGAUCACAGUUGCAAUUUGGGUGCUUGGUAACCACCUUGCCUUUAUGAUAAAUGCAGUGUCCUGCGGUCAUGUUAUGAUUCGUGACCUUCCCAACCAAUUUCCAAUAAGCAAUAAGAUGGAUUUGCUUAAUGACCACAUGAUUUACUUAAUGACUGCCAUAAAAAUGGUAGUAAAAUCAGGUCUGGUAAUGUGAUGACUUGUUUAAUGACCAAAUCACUUAGCAAUUGACCAUAAUACUGUAAUAUUUGCUUUUAUAAUUGAUUCAUCACCAUGAAUGAUGCUAUAAAGUGGUAUAAAUCGUUAUUUUGGAAUAGCCUCAAAUUGCAUAAUGUUACACAAUAAGGAAAAGAGAAGGAAAACCCUUAAGAGUUUUACACUUUGGAUAUCAUGCCCAAGGCAAUUUCUAGCAUCUUAACAUUAAUACUAUAUAGCAUGAAGUAGGGAACUUUAACGUUUUAUGAGAAAAUAUAAUUACAGUGUAGACAAUUCAUUAUUGAUUUAAAAGCAAAAGCAAACAAUGAAAUGGUUGGGGUAAUAAAUUGGUUAAAUGUUUAAACAAAUAUACCCAAGUUUUGCUACUUAUUCUGACUGGUGUAUACAUAGGCCGAAAUAGGAAUUAUCUUGUAACAUUACUGUUUGCUAAUAAAAUACUUAUAUUAAA